GACGAACGCUGGCGGCGCGCCUAACACAUGCAAGUCGAACGAGAGAUGAGGAGCUUGCUCUUCCAAUCGAGUGGCCAACGGGUGAGUAACGCGUGAGGAACCUGCCUCAAAGAGGGGGACAACAGUUGGAAACGACUGCUAAUACCGCCUAAGCCCACCGCUCGGCAUCCAGCAGAGGGAAAAGGAGCAAUCCGCUUUGAGAUGGCCUCGCGUCCGAUUAGCUAGUUGGUGAGGUAACGGCCCACCAAGGCGACGAUCGGUAGCCGGACUGAGAGGUUGAACGGCCACAUUGGGACUGAGACACGGCCCAGACUCCUACGGGAGGCAGCAGUGGGGAAUAUUGCACAAUGGGGGAAACCCUGAUGCAGCGACGCCGCGUGGAGGAAGAAGGUCUUCGGAUUGUAAACUCCUGUUGUUGAGGAAGAUAAUGACGGUACUCAACAAGGAAGUGACGGCUAACUACGUGCCAGCAGCCGCGGUAAAACGUAGGUCACAAGCGUUGUCCGGAAUUACUGGGUGUAAAGGGAGCGCAGGCGGGAGAACAAGUUGGAAGUGAAAUCCAUGGGCUCAACCCAUGAACUGCUUUCAAAACUGUUUUUCUUGAGUAGUGCAGAGGUAGGCGGAAUUCCCGGUGUAGCGGUGGAAUGCGUAGAUAUCGGGAGGAACACCAGUGGCGAAGGCGGCCUACUGGGCACCAACUGACGCUGAGGCUCGAAAGUGUGGGUAGCAAACAGGAUUAGAUACCCUGGUAGUCCACACCGUAAACGAUGAUUACUAGGUGUUGGAGGAUUGACCCCUUCAGUGCCGCAGUUAACACAAUAAGUAAUCCACCUGGGGAGUACGACCGCAAGGUUGAAACUCAAAGGAAUUGACGGGGGCCCGCACAAGCAGUGGAGUAUGUGGUUUAAUUCGACGCAACGCGAAGAACCUUACCAAGUCUUGACAUCCUGCGACGCACAUAGAAAUAUGUGUUUCCUUCGGGACGCAGAGACAGGUGGUGCAUGGUUGUCGUCAGCUCGUGUCGUGAGAUGUUGGGUUAAGUCCCGCAACGAGCGCAACCCUUAUGGUCAGUUACUACGCAAGAGGACUCUGGCCAGACUGCCGUUGACAAAACGGAGGAAGGUGGGGAUGACGUCAAAUCAUCAUGCCCUUUAUGACUUGGGCUACACACGUACUACAAUGGCGUUAAACAAAGAGAAGCAAGACCGCGAGGUGGAGCAAAACUCAGAAACAACGUCCCAGUUCGGACUGCAGGCUGCAACUCGCCUGCACGAAGUCGGAAUUGCUAGUAAUCGUGGAUCAGCAUGCCACGGUGAAUACGUUCCCGGGCCU
rnacentral:rRNA from 1 species